CACAGGCCCCUCUACCCUCUUUGUGUGACCCCCGCCAGCUUCUGUGGGCUUUGGUUCCAAUGGCUCUUGACUGCAACCUUCCACCCAAGGCCACCUUUCAGCUACUGGAGCCACUUGCCCAGGCAGAGGGCUGAACGUGCCCGGGAGUCAGUUGGAGUGGUCCCCAGCCAGUGACUGACCGCAGGUGAAGUACAUAAGCCCAGCUCCCUUUCCUGGAGGCAGGACGAACUCCGAUGUAUAAUUCAUCAGGAGCUCCAGGUGGGACCAGGCUGGCCCUGGGCCUUCACCUGGGAUGGCAGCUUGUCCUGCUUUAACUACUCCCUCCCUCUAGCCUCUCCUGGGAGCACUUCCUUAAUAAGUCACUGAUAAGGUUAAAUUCUCAUUUCAAGGUUUGCUUCUGAGCCUGGCCUAUGACAGGUGCCGAGCAAGGGCUUGAGGGUCAAGACUGUGAAAAGGAACAGCACAUUUUUCUCUGUUUUUAUAAAAAGGCUCCUAACCUGUAGUGUUUGCCAGUUUCUAUGGUGUCAGUAUUUCCACCAUGUCCCAUUCAUGCCACCAACGUGAUGCCACCGAAGGUGGAGUCGUGAGAGAUGCACAGUCGGCUCCGUAGGCCAGUGCGAGCUGCAAGCACUGUCGCGGCAGGAAAUCCCUGGCGAGGACCAUCUCCGCUUCUCAAAGAGACAGCAAUAAAGGCAGCCUUUUGCCCGGAGCAGUGGACUUCUGAGGAUGCCCUGCCAGCAUCCCACGGAGGCGGCAUCGACGUUCCCGCCGGAGGUGGAAUCUGAGCUCCUGAGGAGGAAGCUGUGAACCGGACAUACCCGGGCCCCGGCCAGCAGAUUUAUACCUGGGACUUCCCUUGUGAUCGGCUGUCCUCUCAUCUCAGGGAUGGAACAGCUGUAGUGUUUGUCUAGACUCUCAGGGAAGAUCAACCUGCCACGGGCUGGACACACCCACCCACCUGCACGCCCGCACCCACUCUUUGGAAAGUCUCAUCUUGGUUUUCUUCCAGGGCAGUGUUAAAAUGGAUUGGAGGGAUGCAAAGCUCCCUCAGCAAAGCGAUCAACAGAGAACUGGCGCUCACAGCGAUUCUGAACAAGCACGCGGGCAAUGACAAUGAAUGUUCUGCAAGUCCCAAGGGUCCCACGUACCAGGUGACCAACCAUCUGUACAGUCGGGAGCUGACCAGGAAAACAAACACCAAGGCAUGUAUUUAUAACAGAGGGAAUGUAAUACAAGGAAUUUUUCACAUAGGUGAGGUGGAGGAGUCUGGAAGACAGAGUUCAGUGAAGUCACUCAGAGAUUAGGCAGAAAGCCGCUCCCACCGGAAGCUGGAGAAACAAAGGCGAGAGAGGGGGUGUUAUGGGGGCCCCACUGUGACCUGGAAUCAGGAAGGCCUAUGCAGUGAAAGCUGGAGCUCUGCAGGGAGGCAGGAGGAGAAACACCCUGGCUCCCCUGCCCUCCCUCCAGUCUCUCACCAGUGUCUCCCUUUGGCUCACUAGAGUUUGGAAAAUGCAGCCUCUUGGGUCAUCUUCUGUCAAGUGUCUGUUCAAAUAUUUUGCCCAUGUUUCCCCCACUCAUCGGGUUGUCUGCUUUCUAAGUGAGUUGGAAAAGUUUUUAUCUAUUUUAGAUGCAUGUUCUUUGUGAGGCAUAUGUAUUGUGAAUCUUAGAGUCUGUUGCUUGACUGGUUUUUUUUCUUAAUAGUGUCCUUUUGAAGAGCACAAGUUUGAAAUUGGACAAAAUUCUAUCAUUUCUUCCAGAAAUUUUAUAAUUUUAGCUUUUAUGCCCAGGCUUAUGAUCCAUUUUAAGCUUAUUUUUUUGUGCAUAGUGUGACCUCUAGGUCAAGAUUCUUUUAUGGAUUUCUACUUUCUCAGCACCAUUUGUUGGAAAGACUAUUCUUUACUUCCUUUCUUAUGCCUUUAUGACGUCUUAGUGAAAGUCAAUUGACCAUUAUGUGUAGGUCUGUUUCUGGACUCCAUAUGUUUAUUCUUACUCUUAUACCACCCUGUUUUAAUUAUUGUAGUUUUAUAGUAAGUCUUGAAAUCAAGUAAUGCAAUUCCUCCAACUUUAUUCUCCAUGUUCAAAAUUCUUUUGACAAUUUUAAGUCCUUUGCAUUUCCAUAUAAAUUUUAACAUCAGCAUGUCAAUUUCUAUAAAUACGCCCGUUGGGAGUUUUAUUGGGAUUGCAUUAAAUCUAUAGAUUAAUUUGGGGUGAAUUAACAUUGUAACAAUAGUGAGUCUUUCAACCUGUGAACAUGGUACAUUCCUUAAUUCAUUUCAUUUCUUUUGGAAGUUAUUCAUUUAUUUCAGCAGUUUUGUAGGUUUCAGUGUAGAGGUCUUACACAUAUUGAAACUUUUAUUCUUACAUAUUCUAUGAUUUUUCUGAUGCUAUUGUACAUUAAGUUAUUUUUAAAUGUAAAUUUCUGUUUCCUGCUAAUAGAAUUGAUUUUUGUAUAUUAAUUUUGUAUCUUGUGACUUUGAUAAAUGACUUAUUAGUUUUCUAAGUUGUUUUGUUGAUUUAUUAAGAUUUUUCUACCUAAGCAACAAUGUUAUCUGCAGAUAGAUACCAUUUUACUUCCUUUCUUAUGCCUUUAUUUAUUUUUAUUGCUUUAUUGCACUGGUUAGGAUCUC